UACGAAGGGGGCUAGCGUUGCUCGGAAUCACUGGGCGUAAAGCGCACGUAGGCGGACUCUUAAGUCGGUGGUGAAAUCCUGGAGCUCAACUCCAGAACUGCCUCCGAUACUGGGAGCCUUCGAGUCCGGGAGAGGUGAGUGGAACUGCGAGUGUAGAGGUGAAAUUCGUAGAUAUUCGCAAGAACACCAGUGGCGAAGGCGGCUCACUGGCCCGGUACUGACGCUGAGACGCGAAAGCGCGGGGAGCGAACGGG
rnacentral:rRNA from 1 species